rnacentral:sRNA from 1 species
CCGGAGGGAACGCCGAAUCCUGCCGCUCUCCGGACUCCGCCACUCACACAUUCACGCUCGGCAGGAGCGGGGGAACCAGGUAAGUCGCCGCACCCGGCAUCCGGGACGGCUAGGGGUGAAGUCGCGGGCGACCGCGGCCGGGCAGCUCCCGCCCGAACCCGACAGCUCACCUCGCAGGCGUCGGAGAGGACACGA